rnacentral:tRNA from 1 species
UUAAUUGAAACCAAAAUAGAGGUAUUUCACUGUUAAUGAUAUUAUUAAGAAAUUCUUCAAUUAAA